CGACGCAUUCUGCCGUCUGGCACGCGCCCUGUGCCCUUUACUCAUGACACAGGCCAUCAACGAACGAGCCUAACAAUGUGGAAACAAACUGCCCCACCAUUCAGGACAAAAAAGAAAUGCGGACUAGAGACUCUGCACAUAAGCUGAACGGGACUCCAAAAAAUACAUAACCAAGGGCCGCGAAGACAAUCCAGCAACCACAAUUGACGAUGAAACUGAGAUGGAUGCACAAACCACUGCCAGCAGGGAGGUGCAGUAUUGCCCACUGGUAACAGACGCUGCACGUGCAGGCAGAUUUGGGGUUGAUGUCGCAGGACGAAUUCUACCAGCUCCUCACCCCCGACUUUUUUGCAUCCCUGACACCAGCCGAGUGGGACUGGAUCCAUGGCACCAUCGCUGCUAUUGCAGCACAGAACUCGCAUCAGUGAAAGCACCAUGGCUGUGGUCAUCUGUCAAAUACUCAUCAUACACACAGCCUUGCGGCCAAUCCCUGGCAAACUUCCUUCCAUUUCGACUCCGGAGGGCUUUAAUAAUGCACAUAGGUAAUCACGGUGUGCAGAUGUGUUGUCUCAUUGUGUGUUAUUGGCAUUAGUCAUGUCUUCCUCACCUGUUGUCAACUGAGUCUUUAUUGACUUUGUGCAUUGGCUGCCAUUGUCAGAGCAGCAUCUCUUACAUUUUCAGCUUAUGUUUCAUGUGUAGUGACUGUACAGCUUGCAGCUGACCGUAAAAUAUGGACAAGUGCCCCCCUCAACUUUGGGAAUAAUGCAGGGAACAUUGGUGAAGGGGCUCUUGCUCAGGACUGCCGAAAUGUUCUGAGGUCUUUUGAUCGGUAUUUUACAGUAUUUGACGCGUACCAUAUGAACAUUUGCUUCUGCAUCUGAUCCAGUCCACAUAAAACAAAGGGGGGGAGGGUUUUAGAAACCGCUUCUACUAAGAUCCUUGUUUUGGACGUUCUUUUGCGGGCAUCAUCUGCCAGAUACCGCAGCAUACCUCUGAAUGCUUUUAAUUUGGCUCCAAGUUGAUAAGGUAAAGUCAUGCAUGUGUAUGAUACAUUUAAUGUUUCUAUGAACGUGGGAGGAAGUUCAACAGUGCAGCUGGUAUGCUUUCUUGCCGUCAUGUAUUGUGUCCUCGUACCUACCGCUCACUGUAGCAAUUGAAUUUUGGAUGAGGAUCACAGCAGCGAUGGCCAAAUUGCAACUCUCACCAAAUGUUGUACAUACAAGUCUCCUUUGUUUAAGAUGUACCGUAUUUACUCGAAUGUAACGUGACCACGAUUGUAAAGCGAGGGGUGACUUUUCAGUGCCGAAAAAAAAAAAGAACACGAAUGUAACGCGAGUAAAUUGGGGGGAAAAAGGUGCCUUUAUUUGCUGCACAGGGUAGUGGCAAAGACAUCCCAGCUUCUAAAUAUAAAGUGAGUUUUGUUCAUUCGUCGCUUUCAUCGCCAUCAUCGCCGGUGGUCGAGCCCUCUUUGUCACUUUCUUUCUCCCAGAUGAGGUCAUCCUCCGUGUCAUCCCUAUAAUUCGAUAUA
rnacentral:lncRNA from 1 species